GGCGGACGGGUGAGUAACGCGUAGGAAUCUACCUAUUAGUGGGGGAUAGCCCAGGGAAACUUGGAUUAAUACCGCAUACGCCCUACGGGGGAAAGCGGGGGAUCUUCGGACCUCGCGCUAAUAGAUGAGCCUGCGUAAGACUAGCUAGUUGGUGAGGUAAAGGCUCACCAAGGCGACGAUCUUUAGCUGUUCUGAGAGGAUGAUCAGCCACACUGGGACUGAGACACGGCCCAGACUCCUACGGGAGGCAGCAGUGGGGAAUAUUGGACAAUGGGGGCAACCCUGAUCCAGCCAUGCCGCGUGUGUGAAGAAGGCCUUAGGGUUGUAAAGCACUUUCAGAUGUGAGGAAAGGUGUGUGCUUAAUACGUACAUACUGUGACGUUAGCAUCAGAAGAAGGACCGGCUAACUCCGUGCCAGCAGCCGCGGUAAUACGGAGGGUCCGAGCGUUAAUCGGAAUUACUGGGCGUAAAGCGCGC
rnacentral:rRNA from 1 species